UUGGCUGAGCUGGUGGUUAUUGUCGUCUUUGCUGUCGUUGUCGUUUUUGCCAGCCGUCGGUUUGGCAAAUUCAAAACACACCUACGUUUUGCAUGUCUAUGAGAGGGAGUGAGGCAAAGCUCAAGGGGGUUCCUUCAUCACAACUCCGAAGACGAAACAUUACACCAUUCUAUUUUGAAAGAUGAGAAAAUGCCAAUGUUAUAUUAAAAUUUACAUAUUUAAUAAAGAAUAUUUGGGGUUCGUGUGAGCCGUAGGAAAA
rnacentral:sRNA from 1 species